rnacentral:lncRNA from 1 species
GAAGAUAAAUUAUGAAAAAAAAUUGAGAGAAAAUAUUAAAUAUGGUAAUUAGCAAUUCUGAUAAUAAUUUGGAUAGUAAUAAAAAAAUUGGAAUAAUUAAGAAUCACAAGUUUAAGGCGAUUUUGUUAAAAGAUUUGAGUCUGGUUGUACUAUAAAUAAAAAAAUCAUUAGACAUUUAGGCGUUAAAAAACUAAAAACAAAAAGAAAAAUAAAAGAAGAUUACCGUUUCCCAAAUUUUCGUC